UCCAAGCAUCAAGUCAAAAUCAGCUGUUCAUUUGCAGUGUGAUUUGCUUGUGAAACGUACGCUGGAAAUAGUCACAAAAUAAAAAGUCGCCACAUUUCUCACAAUUCAUUGAAGAUUUCGUAUGUAGCUUAUGUGCAAGGUGGAUUUAUUAUGUGUGAAUUAAUUUGCCACGGGCAUGCAUAAGGUGAAAUUGAAUGUUGAGAUUGAAGUUUGGACGCGGAAAAGUUUAAAAUAGAGAAACAUAACGCAAAAAAACUUCGAAACAAUGGCAAAAUUAAAGUCUCACUGCGUACAGAACGUAAUGAUAUUGAUGGCUAUCAGAAAUCCACCUUGGCUGCUAAUGACUAUGAUGACUUCAUACUAAAUACUGUUGAGAUGCGCAUACCAUAUUGCAUACAAAUAUUUGCUUCAUGUUUUUUGUGGAAAAUCGAUCGCUAUGAUUGACAUCUAAAACUGAACACUUAAAAAUUCUGGAUAACAAAAUUGUAACACGCUUGUGAAUUCAUUUUAUAUAAUUCAACAUAAGUUCAUGAUCAUUGAAAAAUUGAUUAAAAAUAAAGUAUUUAAUUUAAUUAAAUUUA